AUGUCGCCCUCCGUCUCCGCCGCCGUUCUCCGCCGCCUCGGCGACCGGCUCGGCCUCCGCCGACUCGCCACGCUCCCCGACUACGCGGCCGGCGCCGAUGAGCUGCCGCAGCACCCCACCUCCAAGGACGCCUACUUCGCGGCGGUCAACCACCUCUCCACCAUCGUACGGCGCGACUUCUACCUGGAGCGCACCCUGAACCGCCUCCGCCUGCCGUCCCCCUUCCCGCCGGACCUCGCGCUCCGCGUCAUCCGCGCCGCUGCCCCCUCCGAGCCCCUCCACGCCGCCCGCUUCCUCGCGUGGCUCCGGGCGAAGCCCAAUUUCUCCCCCUCCGCCGAUCACUUCGACGCGCUGCUCCUCCCGCUCGCCCGCGCGCGCCUCUUCACCCACCUCUGGACCCAGGCCUCCGACAUGCGCGCGCUCGGCCUCCCCCUCUCUCCGGCAACCUUUUCGGCGGUGAUCUCGUCCUACGGCCACUCCCGCCUCGCCGAGCAGGCCGUCGAGGUCUUCAAUCGCCUUCCCCACUUCGGGUGCCCGCAGACCACCGAGGUCUACAACGCCCUUCUGGACGCGCUCUGCGCCAACGGCAACUUUGCCGGCGCCUACAAGCUGCUCCGCCGCAUGGCGCGCAAGGGCGUGGCCCCCGACCGCGCCACGUUCAGCACGCUCGUCGACGCCUGGUGCGCGUCGGGGAAGCUCCGGGAGGCGCAGGCGUUCCUCGACGACAUGUCGUCCCGCGGGUUCCGGCCGCCGGUGCGCGGCCGGGACCUCCUCGUCGACGGGCUCGUCCGAGCUGGGCGCCUGGAGGAAGCCAAGGCAUUCGCCCUCCGCAUCACCAAGGAGGGCGUCCUUCCCGACGUGGCCACGUUCAACUCGCUCGCCCAGGCGCUUUGCGAUGCUGGUGAUGUGGAAUUCGCCGUGGGUCUUCUUGCCGAUGCUUCCAGUCGUGGCAUGUGCCCAGAUAUCUCAACUUACAAAGUGAUGCUACCGGCCGUGGCCAAGGCUGGCCGAAUUGAGGAGGCAUUCCGAUUGUUCUAUGCGACUAUUGAGGAUGGCCACCGGCCCUUCCCAAGUCUAUAUGCGGCGAUCGUCAAGGCGCUCUGCAAGGCAGGUCGUUUCGCUGAUGCUUUCGCCUUUUUUGGUGAUAUGAAGUCCAAGGGGCACCCACCCAAUCGGCCUGUGUAUGUGAUGCUUGUCAAAAUGUGUGUGAGAGGUGGUCGGUUCUUGGAUGCUGCAAACUACCUUCUUGAGAUGAGUGAGGCUGGGUUCGCGCCACGGGCGCCAACCUUUAACGUUGUAGUCGAUGGGCUGCGGCAUCUUGGGAAACAUGACCUAGCCCGGAGGAUGGAGCAGCUUGAGAUGUCACUAAAAGGAAACUGA
rnacentral:rRNA from 1 species